UACGUAGGGUGCAAGCGUUAAUCGGAAUUACUGGGCGUAAAGCGUGCGCAGGCGGUCAUGCAAGACAGAUGUGAAAUCCCCGGGCUCAACCUGGGAACUGCAUUUGAAACUGGGAGACUUGAGUGUGGCAGAGGGGGGUGGAAUUCCACGUGUAGCAGUGAAAUGCGUAGAUAUGUGGAGGAACACCAAUGGCGAAGGCAGCCCCCUGGGUCAACACUGACGCUCAUGCACGAAAGCGUGGGGAGCAAACAGG
rnacentral:rRNA from 1 species